UACGUAGGCAGCAAGCGUUGUUCGGAGUUACUGGGCGUAAAGGGUGUGUAGGCGGUUCUUUAAGUUUGGUGUGAAAUCUCCCGGCUCAACUGGGAGGGUGCGCCGAAUACUGAGGGACUAGAGUACGGGAGAGGAAAGUGGAAUUCCUGGUGUAGCGGUGAAAUGCGUAGAUUUCAGGAGGAACACCGGUGGUGUAGACGGCUUUCUGGACCGUAACUGACGCUGAGACACGAAAGCGUGGGUAGCAAACAGG
rnacentral:rRNA from 1 species